AAAAAGGGCAGGCCUUGCCUAAGGCACAUAAUGGGCGGGCUUCCGUUCUUGUGGUGAAUCGCGAUCAGGAGAUUUGCCCUGCAUAAUUUCUGAGCUGCCGGCGUUGGAAUGGGCCUCAUGGGCUAAUUCCACCGG
rnacentral:snRNA from 1 species